ACAAAGUCAAGCGCAAAGAUGGCUGACGUGUCUCCACAGCAACCUCAGCGGCUCCAGCGCUGAGAUUUGAGGACUGGGAUCGGUUUGCGAUUCUCUAUAACAAAUUUAAAAAGUGCUAUCUGAACUUCCAGUUUCUAGCUUGACCUGUGAAGAAUCUGAAAGUCAUCACUCCCUGACUUCACAAGAGAAAAGGUGAACACACUGAAAAUCAGGCUCUAGAUUCUGUUUAAGGAGUCUCUAAGAAAACUGAAGAUAACAGAGGGGACAAAAAUGAAGAAACCAGAAGAAACCUUCACCCUUUAUACCACAGGGUCAGCAGAUGGUAGACAGAACCUGGUUCCUGGCUAGAUAAACAUAAAACCUCAUGUAAAAGACCUAGCUGCCUCAGUUCUUUGCACUCAAUACAUCAUGCCCAGGUUUCAACAAAAAUUAUAAGGCACUGUAAAAAGCCAUAAAACUCAGUGUGAAGAGACAAGGCAAGCAUUAGAGCCAGACUCAGAGACAAGAAGGAUUUGAAAAUUAUCAGACCAGGAAUUUAAAAAUGGUUCUGAUUAAUAGGCUAAGGGCUCACAUGGAAAAAGUAGAUAAUGUGAAUAUAUGGAUAAUGUAAGCAGAGAAAGACUCCAAAGGAAAUACUAGAAAUGAAAACCACUGUCACAGAAAUGAAGGAUGGUUUUGAUGGGCUCACGAGUCAACUGGAUGCAGCUAGGGAAAGGGUCAGCCAGCUUAAGAUACGUUAGUAAAAACUUCUGAGCAAAAACACAGAAAGAGAGAAUGAAAAAGACAGAAUAGACAUCUGAGAGCUCUAGACAAAUCACAAAAUUCAUAAUACACAUAUUAUGUAAUGGGAAUGCCAACAAUAAAAAGGAGUAGAAAAAGUAUUUGAAGCAAUAAUGACUGAGAAUGUGCCAAAAUUAAUAAUAGACACUGUCUUAGUUACUUUUCUUGUUGCUGAGACAAAAUAUCUAAUACCCAAAGUUAAAGGAGGAAAAGUUUAUUGUAGCUCACAGUUUAUAGAGGUUUCAGCUCAUAGUUGCCUAGCUCCAAGACAAGGUGGUGUGGCAGAGGGGCAUUGCAGAGGAGAAACAGUUCAUGGCAGGCAGAAGGCAGUAAAGCAGAGAAGUAGGGAAGCAGCAGCAGUAGGCAGGCCUUUUUUUUUGUCACUUUAUAUCCAUCCAGGCUGCCCGCCUUUUGGGUGGUGUCACCCACACCCAGGGUGGGUCUUCCCAUUGUCCAUACCUAAAACUAUGCCAGUGGACUAAUUAAGUAAUCACACUUUUUUGGGGGGCGGGUACCAGGGAUCGAACUCGGGUCCUUGAGCUUGCACAGCAGACAGUGAAACCACUGAGCUAAAUCCCUGGCCCUAAUGACACAUUUUUAAUCCUAGCAUCACACACUUAAUUCCAGCAUCAUAUUCCUUAGAUCCAGCUACCUCUGAAAAGCCCCACGUGUGAUCACAUGAGGCUUUGGGGGAACAUUGAGACAGAAGUCAUUACAGACAUCAAAUAACAGAUCCAAAUGACAAAAAUUAGGGAAAUUUUUCAUAAAGAGACCUGCCUUGCCAGAAAUGUUUAAGGAGUUUUUCAGAAAGAAUGAAAAGGAUAGAAGUGAGAAACUUAGAUCUACAUGAAGAAAAAAGUGUUACAGAAGGAAGGAAGGAAGGCAGGCAGGCAGGCAGGCAGCAAGCUGGACCCCAUACUUACAUCAAAGAUGCAAGUCACCGCAAACACCACUGUUACCACCAGAGUCAAGCUCUGGGAAGGCACACUGUGCCACUGGAACUGCCCUGGCUGAAGAAGAACUCAGGUGCAUCCAGGUACAGUAACAAAUGCACACCUGUAAUCCUAGCACUUUGGAAAGUAGAGUCAGGAAGAUCACAAGUUUGAUCCAGACUGGGUAAUCUAAUGAGACCCUGUCUCAAAAUAAAAAAUAAGAAGAGCUGAGAUACUGGUCAGUGUGAAGGCCCUGUGCUCAAUCCCCCAGUACAAAAACAAAACAAAACAAAAACAAAACCCAGGCUUUCAGAAGAGCCUACAGAUGCAAGAAACUAAACAUGGCUUCUCUUGUGUUCAAUCUCUUAUUAGCUUCUCCUAGAUAAUCAGAAUAGUCUACCUUUCAGGCUUCUCAGCACCACUCUACCCAAUUUACAGGUCCACACAGCAGGCUUUGCAAUAUCAUGCAUCUGCCUCCAGGCAUGCAGAUAUUCUAAUCAAGAUGAAGACAGAGGCCCCUGGCCCUCUUCCCUAAAAGAGAAAGCACAAAACCAAUCCUAUCUGUCACCAUAUCCACUUCUAGGAGGCAUUAAUUCUGUGCUUAGUUCAGCCACAAUCCUAUCUGAAUGAUCUAUAAUCCAAAGAAUAAAUUAUGAUGUUAACAGUCAAACAAACAAAACAGACUGAUCUGUAGCUGACUGAGGGAUGGGGCGUGGAGGUGGAGCUCAACUACUACAUUCUUUAUCAAUUCCUUCUUCAAAUAUGCACUUAGUUUUUAGGUGAGUACUUAGUCAUUGUGGUGUUUGGAAAUUUAGAUGAAAAUAUUCAAGUGGGUUUUAAGAAUAUUCAGUUCUCUUGAUUUUUGUUUUUCUUUUUCUUUUUGACCCAUCUAAUUCUUAAGUAUUUCAGGAGCCAGCAGGACAUAAAUGAAACAAGAAAAUUAGGAUAACUUGAGGAGCAGAGGAAGGAAAAAAGAGCAGAAUCCUGGAACCAGUUACAGCACAGCCAUUCCCACCCCUGAGACCAGAGGGACAGAUGACAAUUAGAAAGGAAAAUAAAUAGUAAAACAAAUAUUUCGAUCUUCCCAGUGGUAGAAUGGUGGGUGCCAGGUGCAGGCAAUAGAGCAAGAUACACUCUCUUCCCUUCCCAUCGGACUUUGAAGGCAGAUGGAACACAGAUACACUCAACAAAUGACUACACACAGAAAUAUCACAGUGGCUCCAUUUCCUGAAUGAAAAACAGCAGAGUCCAUGAGAGAUUCUAGCGGGUGGAGGACCUGGUUCUGGCCAUCAAGGAAGGAGAUGCUGGGAAAGCGAUGUUUGGCUGAAGUUCACUGCACAUGGAGGAGUUUCCAGGGCAGGAGGGACGUGAGUGAGAUGGACCAGACCACGCAUGUGGAGACCUUGACCUUUGCAAGGACGUGAAAAUUCCUCUGUUGGGGAAGCGCAGAGGGGCGGAGGCUCUGGAGAGAGAGAGAGAGAGAGAGAGAGAGAGAGAGAGAGAGAGAGAGGAGGACCUGGGCUGGGAAAUGAGGAGGGCCCGAAUCCUGCCUGGGAACCUGAAGCCUCAGGGUUGGAGAUUUGGAACUCAGACAAAAACAGAAAAAUCACAACAGGAUUUUAAUGGAGAUGCCAGGAUGUGUCUGCAUUUUUGAUAAAAGAUCCUUAAAGACAA